rnacentral:lncRNA from 12 species
CAUGGUUCAGGUUAGUCUCUUGCUUCUGCUUUCCUCUUUGAGAAUGGCACAUUCCAGACAAAGGUUGCUCCUUUAGCCUGCAAGUCUAGUUGAGAAGACAGAUGGAGUGGAGCCAUUACUGGAGCAGAAUGCUACCAGCCUAAAGUUUACAUGAAAUGUGAGCAAGAAAUAAGCCUUUGUGUUAUACAACACUGAAAUAUUGGAGUUUCUUAUUCCACCAAAGAUAACAAAAACACAUGCCUAUGGAGACACUAAUAGAUGUGCACCUACCUGUGGCUUUUUAAAAGAAUUAAAAUAAUAUGUCCUCAAUCUUCUUCAGAUGUUGUCAAUGUACUGGCAGGUCCCAGGAAGACGUGAUGGUUGGACAUUCUUGGAAGAGACCCAGCCUCAUCAGGGGGAUAUCCUUCCAGGAUUCCCAGCUCUCUCCUGCUUUCUACCCUUCAUAUGAAAGAUUAAUCUUGCUUUUUGGUUCUGGACAUUAUCAUGAAUUAGUAUAAUAUGUUUCUCUCCCCUGAACCUCACCCUGGUGAUAACCACACACAAGAGAGAGAAGCAUUGAAAUAUACAAAAACAGAAACAACUUUAAAAGAUGUGAACAACCUUGGGGAGAUAGAAAGCAGUUUUACCUGAUGGAAGACAUAAAUGGCAGACCAGGGUGGGGGAAGCCCCAGUGUCAUCCCUAAGCAAGGAACAUAAAUAUGGCUUAAAAGCAAUGUCAUCCAUAUGCAAGGAAUACAAAUGUGAAUUGAAAGAAAAUAUUCAAUAUAGAGGAUAAACAGCAAAACAUAUCUAGCCAAAAGGGCAAAAGGGAAUGCUGAUCUAGAAUAUAGUUUUGUGAUGUUACCACAAGACAACAGGAAGGAAUAGAGAGAUGAAAAAUGAAAAAAAAAAAAAAGAAUUGGAGGAUAUGGAACAAGAAUUAGCAGUUGUAACUUCUUUACAUGACUCCUUUUAAGAUAAGGAAGGUCAUAAAUGGAGGAGAAUAGAUAUUUUAGGAAGUAAGGGCUAAGCAUUUACAAGAGUUAAAGAAUAAUUAAAGACCUCAACUGGAAAGGGAUUACAGAGUGCCAAAUAAUUAGAUAAGAGAAACCUACAUGUACACAAUUCAUGGUGAAUGCUAAGAAUUAAAAAAAGGACAAAAGUAAUAUGCUAAAACUUUCUAGACAAAACAAAAAACAAAAAACGAAUCAUUGAACAUUAACCUUCUCAACAGCAGUACAAGGAAAAAAUAAUGGGGUAAUGUUUUCAAAGUGUUAAAAAAACAAUCAAAGUUAAAAUUUUUUAAUAAGCUCAGAGAUUAUUCUAAUAUACAUAAACAAAUAAAGCUAUUUUCAGCCCUCA